rnacentral:rRNA from 1 species
AGUGAACGCUGGCGGUAGGCCUAACACAUGCAAGUCGAACGGCAGCACAGGAGAGCUUGCUCUCUGGGUGGCGAGUGGCGGACGGGUGAGGAAUACAUCGGAAUCUACUCUGUCGUGAGGGAUAACGUAGGGAAACUUACGCUAAUACCGCAUACGACCUACGGGCGAAAGCAGGGGACCUUCGGGCCUUGCGCGAUUGAAUGAGCCGAUGUCGGAUUAGCUAGUUGGCGGGGUAAAGGCCCACCAAGGCGACGAUUCGUAGCUGGUCUGAGAGGAUGAUCAGCCACACUGGAACUGAGACACGGUCCAGACUCCUACGGGAGGCAGCAGUGGGGAAUAUUGGACAAUGGGCGCAAGCCUGAUCCAGCCAUACCGCGUGGGUGAAGAAGGCCUUCGGGUUGUAAAGCCCUUUUGUUGGGAAAGAAAUCCAGCUGGCUAAUACCCGGUUGGGAUGACGGUACCCAAAGAAUAAGCACCGGCUAACUUCGUGCCAGCCGCCGCUGUAA